rnacentral:rRNA from 3 species
GCUGGCGACCAUAGCAAGAGUGAACCACCUGAUCCCUUCCCGAACUCAGAAGUGAAACCUCUUAGCGCUGAUGGUAGUGUGGGGCUUCCCAUGUGAGAGUAAGUCAUCGCCAGCU